GCUCCAAUAGCGUAUAUUAAAGUUGUUGCAGUUAAAAAGCUCGUAGUUGGAUUUCUGGGGUAGACUUUCGGUCCGUGGCUUAUGUCAUGUGUACUGUUUUUGUUCUAUCUCAUCCUCGUAGUGAGUGGUUCUGGCAUUCAGUUGUCGGGAUCAGGAGCUGCGUCGUUUACUGUGAAAAAAUUAGAGUGUUUAAAGCAGGC
rnacentral:rRNA from 1 species